AUUAUUGAUAUUUAAGGAUGAUAAUGCUUACAAGUAUGAUCAGAGAAAAAAUAUUGAUUCCUUUUACAAGAAUGAAAGAGUUGUCCUUUUCUCCUUCAAGAUUCACUUCUAUUUAUAUAUGUAAAUGUAUGAGUAAAAUUCCUAAAAUACCACUCCACCUUCUCUCAAAAGCAAGGAUGGUAGGCGGUUAUUCUGAGAUCAUGUGCGGAUCAUGGAGAUGGUGGAGUGAAGCUUUAAUGGCCAUGUUGUGAAGAUGGAGUUUAUGACUGUCUUUAUCCCGCCUAUUCCUUCUUUCCAAUCUUUUGGGCUUGCAUUUGAUAGAUCAGCUGCUAUUGGCAAAAAGUCCUUGGAUCGUCGCCCAGUACAAUAGGUACUUAUCAUAAUUUUUAUUUGUAAAAAUAUUUUAAGUGUCUCUUAUAUUCAAACUUGUUCAACACAUGGAUUUAUAACUAGUGGACUCUAAUUACAAGCAUCAUUUCCUUUAUGUGAGAUUUAGUUCCAUAAACUAAAGGGACAAACAUGAUACAUAGAUGUACUUUAAAAGACAUUUAAUAAUUAUUCUAAUAUUUUGUUAAAGAGAGUUAUUCUAAUUUUGAAAAGGUUUCUUGUAUCAACAUAAAUAUACUAAAUUGACAUGAAACAUUACAUAAUGUGAUAAAAAAAUCCAGUAAAAAAAAAAAUUACUUGAAGUAAUCCAAGAAAGAACAUAUAUAUAAAGUGAUCAAAAAAACAUUACAUGAGUAAUCCAAAAGAAAAAAUUACGUAAUCCAAAAAACAAAAUGGCUGAAAAUCACAAAUUGGUUUUUCCAGUGAUCAUUUUUGUUUUUCUCUUUCUUGUUGUAGUCAAAGGUAUAGACACUACAACUAAUUUACCAUCUUUCACCCCAGGAAAAGAAUGUGUUACUGGCGAAGAUUGUUUAAAAAUUCUUCGGAAAGUUAAUGGUUUUAAACUGAUUUGCUUGAAUGGUUAUUGUCGAUAUGGAUAUAAGAGGAAACCCUACUAAAAUAUGAGGUUCUUAAUAUAUACUAAAUCUUUUAAAUUGGGUUGUUACUAUUCAACACUGCUUGAGAGAGGCCAGCUCAUGUGCAGAUUUACUACCUUAAAAGGGAUUUGAUGUUCUUUUUUUCCCAGUUUUAAUUAAUUCCGAUGGUAAUUUUUUCCUGCUUUUUUAGUUUUAGAUUGUAAGGUGCUAUUAUCGCUCGUUUAGUUCGUUAAUUUAAGCCUUUUAUUAUUUUAAAAAAAAAAACAUUUUUGUUA